ensembl:snRNA U6 U6 spliceosomal RNA
AGACUUUGGCAACUUGUAUACUGAAACAGGAAUGAUAAAGAUUAACUUGGUCCCUGCACGAGGAUGGAAUCAAAUUUGUGAAGCAUUCCAUAUUUUU